rnacentral:rRNA from 1 species
GGAGGGCGGUAUUUAUUAGAUAACAAGCCAAUAUUCCUCCGGUCUAUUGUGGUGACUCAUAAUAACUGAUCGAAUCGCAAGGCCUAUGGCCGCGAUAUGUCAUUCAAGUUUCUGCCCCAUCAGCUUUCGAUGGUAGUGUAUUGGACUACCAUGGCGUUUACGGGUAACGGAGGAUUAGGGUUCGAUUCCGGAGAGGGAGCCUGAGAAACGGCUACCACAUCUAAGGAAGGCAGCAGGCGCGUAAAUUACCCAAUCCUGACUCAGGGAGGUAGUG